rnacentral:lncRNA from 1 species
UGAUAGUUAUCUUCGUGAGAGCCACCAACAUUCUUUCAGGAUAAACUCCAAUUGCAGCGAAAGCAACAACUAGGAUUACGUGAUGAUUAAUUUUGAUGACGUCUGCUUUGAUAACACUGCUGUUGGAGACUGUCGAUCAGCAGUCAUCUUCACUUGGAGAGUGACAUUAUUAAAUUUUAUGUUAUCCUUAUCUUUUUGGCAUCCUCAUCCUCU